rnacentral:rRNA from 1 species
UGCGGCAGCGACACUGUGUGUUGUUGGGUAGGGGAGCGUUCUGUAAGCCUGUGAAGGUGUGUCGUGAGGCAUGCUGGAGGUAUCAGAAGUGCGAAUGCUGACAUAAGUAACGAUAAAGCGGGUGAAAAGCCCGCUCGCCGGAAGACCAAGGGUUCCUGUCCAACGUUAAUCGGGGCAGGGUGAGUCGACCCCUAAGGCGAGGCCGAAAGGCGUAGUCGAUGGGAAACGGGUUAAUAUUCCCGUACUUGGUGUUACUGCGAAGGGGGGACGGAGAAGGCUAUGUUGGCCGGGCGACGGUUGUCCCGGUUUAAGCGUGUAGGUGUGUGUUCCAGGUAAAUCCGGUUCACUUUAACACUGAGGCGUGACGACGAGGCACUACGGUGCUGAAGCAACAAAUGCCCUGCUUCCAGGAAAAGCCUCUAAGCAUCAGGUAACAUCAAAUCGUACCCCAAACCGACACAGGUGGUCAGGUAGAGAAUACCAAGGCGCUUGAGAGAACUCGGGUGAAGGAACUAGGCAAAAUGGUGCCGUAACUUCGGGAGAAGGCACGCUGACACGUAGGUGAAGUGAUUUACUCAUGGAGCUGAAGUCAGUCGAAGAUACCAGCUGGCUGCAACUGUUUAUUAAAAACACAGCACUGUGCAAACACGAAAGUGGACGUAUACGGUGUGACGCCUGCCCGGUGCCGGAAGGUUAAUUGAUGGGGUCAGCGCAAGCGAAGCUCCUGAUCGAAGCCCCGGUAAACGGCGGCCGUAACUAUAACGGUCCUAAGGUAGCGAAAUUCCUUGUCGGGUAAGUUCCGACCUGCACGAAUGGCGUAAUGAUGGCCAGGCUGUCUCCACCCGAGACUCAGUGAAAUUGAACUCGCUGUGAAGAUGCAGUGUACCCGCGGCAAGACGGAAAGACCCCGUGAACCUUUACUAUAGCUUGACACUGAACAUUGAGCCUUGAUGUGUAGGAUAGGUGGGAGGCUUUGAAGUGUGGACGCCAGUCUGCAUGGAGCCGACCUUGAAAUACCACCCUUUAAUGUUUGAUGUUCUAACGUGGACCCGUUACCCGGGUUGCGGACAGUGUCUGGUGGGUAGUUUGACUGGGGCGGUCUCCUCCUAAAGAGUAACGGAGGAGCACGAAGGUUGGCUAAUCCUGGUCGGACAUCAGGAGGUUAGUGCAAUGGCAUAAGCCAGCUUGACUGCGAGCGUGACGGCGCGAGCAGGUGCGAAAGCAGGUCAUAGUGAUCCGGUGGUUCUGAAUGGAAGGGCCAUCGCUCAACGGAUAAAAGGUACUCCGGGGAUAACAGGCUGAUACCGCCCAAGAGUUCAUAUCGACGGCGGUGUUUGGCACCUCGAUGUCGGCUCAUCACAUCCUGGGGCUGAAGUAGGUCCCAAGGGUAUGGCUGUUCGCCAUUUAAAGUGGUACGCGAGCUGGGUUUAGAACGUCGUGAGACAGUUCGGUCCCUAUCUGCCGUGGGCGCUGGAGAACUGAGGGGGGCUGCUCCUAGUACGAGAGGACCGGAGUGGACGCAUCACUGGUGUUCGGGUUGUCAUGCCAAUGGCACUGCCCGGUAGCUAAAUGCGGAAGAGAUAAGUGCUGAAAGCAUCUAAGCACGAAACUUGCCCCGA